GUCCACGCCGUAAACGUUGUACACUAGGUGUCGGGGGUUUCAACGCCCUCGGUGCCGCCGCUAACGCAUUAAGUGUACCGCCUGGGGAGUACGCUCGCAAGGGUGAAACUCAAAGGAAUUGACGGGGGCCCGCACAAGCGGUGGAGCAUGUGGUUUAAUUCGACGAUACGCGAAACACCUUACCUGGGCUUGACAUCUAGUGGACAGGCGUAGAGAUACGCUCUCCUUCGGGCCGCUAGACAG
rnacentral:rRNA from 1 species